UCAUUUCCUUGCCCACACAGUUCAUCUCCGCUUGUCUCGUUAGAGCACCAAGGCGUCAGAAUGAUCAAAAAACUGCUCUGCUUCACUGCUCUUCUCUGGGUGACAGGACUUUCGCUCAGUAAUAAAGUCCAGCAGACACCUCAUGCUUUGAUAAACCAGACUGGUGUCACUUUGGAAUUUACCUGUAGGCACAAAGUUUCCAGCUAUGACACUAUAUUGUGGUACCAAAAGCUGGAGAAGGACAAUGCCUUAAAUCUCAUUGGUUAUGUCCUGGUUAGUGCUGUUUGUUGUUUCUCUGUUUCCUCUCAGAAGAUGAAUACGGCCAGAGUUGUCAUAUUUGCAGUCAUUUUGCUUUGGUGGAAAGGUCAUGGUGAAGGCAGUGGUGUUACACAGAAUCCAGCCAUUCUCUGGGCUCCUAUAGGGAAUUCUAGCCAGAUGAACUGCAGCCACAAUAAGGGUAUUGACUACUCCCAAAUGUACUGGUACCACCAGCGCCCAGGGGAGAACAUGCAGCUCAUUGUGUUUACAGCUGUUGGAGGUACACCUGACUUUGGGAAUUUAGACCAGAGCAAUUAUGAAGCUGAAAAACAUAACUUUGAGAGUGGAUCUUUCUCAGUAAAAAGUGUGAAGCCAGAAGACAGUGGUGUGUAUUUCUGUGCAGUGAGUAAACACAGUGAUGCAGACUGAUUGCACAGCUGUACAAAAGAAUGAAUAUUAGGUCACGUUUUAUGCAAGUUGCAGUACUUAAUCUCUCCUGUUGGGGGGUCUAUAACUCAAGUAGACAACUUACAGAAACACUGUGACAGCAUUCUGAAUUUAAUGUAGCCGAGUGAAAUGCUUAAAUGCAAACAUAUAGGGAUGGACUGUCAGUCCAGUGGAGAGAGUGAUAUUCUAACAUAACUGGGCUUAAAGCCUGACCUGGAUGAAGCCAUGGGAAUAGGGAAAGGGAAACCAGUGACACAUGUGGGCGUCUGAAGUUUAUACUGGAGGAUGGCCAGCCUGAAGGGACCGUCACCUCAUAACAGACCCCCUUUGGUGUAGGACUCCCAUGUUCCCUCAACCAACCUCACCGUUUGUGA